rnacentral:rRNA from 1 species
CGGCGUGGAUAAGACAUGCAAGUCGAACGGAGCUUAUUCGGUUAGCAAUAAUUGAGUAAGUCGAGUGGCGAACGGGUGAGUAACACGUGGGAAUCUACCGGAAAGUGGGGGAUAGCUCGCCGAAAGGCGAAUUAAUACCCCAUGUGGUGGCAACACUAAAGGGGGGGAUCUUCGGACCUCUCGCUUUCCGACGAGCCCGCGGCCUAUCAGCUUGUUGGUGAGGUAAUGGCUCACCAAGGCUUCGACGGGUAGCUGGUCUGAGAGGAUGAUCAGUCACACUGGAACUGGGACACGGUCCAGACACCUACGGGUGGCAGCAGUCGAGAAUCUUUCACAAUGGGGGAAACCCUGAUGGAGCGACGCCGCGUGGAGGAUGAAGGAUUUCGGUUCGUAAACUCCUGUCACCACAGAACAAGAGCGACGUGGCUAAUACCCACGACGUUUGAUGGUAUGUGGAGAGGAAGGAACGGCUAACUCUGUGCCAGCAGCCGCGGUGAUACAGAGGUUCCAAGCGUUGUUCGGAUUCACUGGGCGUAAAGCGAGUGUAGGGGGCUGUGUAAGUAGGAUGUGAAAGCCUGCCGCUCAACGGUAGAACUGCAUUCUAUACUGCAUGGCUAGAGGGCCGGAGGGGAGAACGGAAUUCCUGGUGUAGCGGUGAAAUGCGUAGAUAUCAGGAGGAACGCCGAUGGCGAAAGCAGUUCUCUGGAAGGCACCUGACCCUCAGACUCGAAGGCCGGGGUAGCAAACGGGAUUAGAUACCCCGGUAGUCCUGGCAGUAAACGGUGCUCAUUAGGUGUUGGCGGGUUCGACCCCGUCAGCGCCGAAACCUAACGGAUUAAAUGAGCCGCCUGGGAAGUACGUUCGCAAGAGUAAAACUCUAAGAAAUUGACGGGUCCCCGCACAAACGGUGGAGUAUGUGGCUUAAUUCGAUGCAACGCGAAAGAACCUUACCUGGGCUUGACAUCUAGAGUUCAUCCGGUGAAAGCCGGUGGCCCGCAAGGGCGAUCUAGACAGGUGCUGCAUGGCUGUCGUCAGCUCGUGUCGUGAGAUGUUGGGUUAAGUCCCGCAACGAGCGCAACCCCUGUGGUUAGUUACCUCUUCGGAGGGCCUCUAGCCAGACUGCCCUGUGAAACGGGGAGGAAGGUGGGGAUGACGUCAAGUCAGUAUGGUCCUUACGCCCAGGGCUGCACACGUACUACAAUGCCCAAUACAGAGGGACGCAAGACCGCGAGGUGGAGCUAAUCCCAUAAAAUUGGGCCCAGUUCGGAUUGUAGGCUGCAACUCGCCUACAUGAAGUUGGAAUCGCUAGUAUGGNCAUCAGCUACGGCGCCGUGAAUACGUUCCCGGGGCUUGUACACACCGCCCGUCACAUCAUGAAAGCCGAUUGUACCCGAAGU